AACGAACGCUGGCGGCAGGCCUAACACAUGCAAGUCGAGCGAACCCUUCGGGGUUAGCGGCGGACGGGUUAGUAACGCGUGGGAAUAUACCCUUUGGUACGGAAUAGCCUCGGGAAACUGAGAGUAAUACCGUAUGUGCCCUUCGGGGAAAGAUUUAUCGCCAAAGGAUUAGCCCGCGUUGGAUUAGAUAGUUGGUGGGGUAAUGGCCUACCAAGUCUACGAUCCAUAGCUGGUUUGAGAGGAUGAUCAGCAACACUGGGACUGAGACACGGCCCAGACUCCUACGGGAGGCAGCAGUGGGGAAUCUUAGACAAUGGGCGCAAGCCUGAUCUAGCCAUGCCGCGUGGACGAUGAAGGCCUUAGGGUUGUAAAGUCCUUUCAGAUGGGAAGAUAAUGACGGUACCAUCAGAAGAAGCCCCGGCUAACUACCGUG
rnacentral:rRNA from 1 species